rnacentral:rRNA from 1 species
CGUGGCUAACCUGCCCUUAGGAUCGGAAUACCCCCCGGGAAACUGGGGCUAAUUCUCAAUAGGUGAAGAACUCUGGAAUGAGUCUUCACUGAAAAGGCGCUAGAGUUAUGCUCUUUGGCGCCGCCCAAGGAUGGGGCCGCGACCGAUCAGGUUGUUGGUGAGGUAAUGGCUCACCAAGCCUUUUACCGGUGCGGGCCGUGGGAGCGGGAGCCCGGAGAUGGGCACUGAGACAAGGGCCCAGGCCCUACGGGGCGCAGCAGUCGCGAAAACUUUGCAAUAAGCGAAAGCUUGACAGGGCUAUCCCGAGUGCCAUCCGCUGAGGAAGGCUUUUACCCAGUCUAGAACGCUGGGGGAAUAAGGAGAGGGCAAGUCUGGUGUCAGCCGCCGCGGUAAUACCAGCUCUCCGAGUGGUGUGGAUGUUUAUUGGGCCUAAAGCAUCCGUAGCUGGCUAGGUUAGUCCCCUGUUAAAUCCACCGAAUUAAUCGUUGGAUUGCGGGGGAUACUGCUUGGCUAGGGGACGAGAGAGGCAGACGGUAUUUCCGGGGUAGGGGUGAAAUCCUAUAAUCCCGGGAAGACCACCAGUGGCGAAGGCUGUCUGCUAGAACGCGCCCGACGGCGAGGGAUGAAAGCUGGGGGAGCGAACCGGAUUAGAUACCCGGGUAGUCCCAGCUGU